rnacentral:rRNA from 1 species
AUUGAACGCUGGCGGCAUGCCUUACACAUGCAAGUCGAACGGUAGAGGGGGCAACCUCUCGAGAGUGGCGAACGGGUGAGUAAAGCAUCGGAACGUGCCCAGUAGUGGGGGAUAGCCCGGCGAAAGCCGGAUUAAUACCGCAUGAGACCUACGGGUGAAAAGGGGGGAUCGCAAGACCUCUCGCUAUUGGAGCGGCCGAUGUCAGAUUAGGUAGUUGGUGGGGUAAAGGCCUACCAAGCCGACGAUCUGUAGCUGGUCUGAGAGGACGACCAGCCACACUGGGACUGAGACACGGCCCAGACUCCUACGGGAGGCAGCAGUGGGGAAUUUUGGACAAUGGGCGAAAGCCUGAUCCAGCCAUGCCGCGUGCGGGAAGAAGGCCUUCGGGUUGUAAACCGCUUUUGUCAGGGAAGAAAUCCUUUGAGUUAAUACCUCGGGGGGAUGACGGUACCUGAAGAAUAAGCACCGGCUAACUACGUGCCAGCAGCCGCGGUAA